rnacentral:rRNA from 1 species
GUGAGGAAUAUUGGACAAUGGGCGCAAGCCUGAUCCAGCCAUGCCGCGUGCAGGAAGACGCAUCUAUGGUGUGUAAACUGCUUUUGUACGGGAAGAAACACUCCCUCGUGAGGGAGCUUGACGGUACCGUAAGAAUAAGGAUCGGCUAACUCCGUGCCAGCAGCCGCGGUAAUACGGAGGAUCCAAGCGUUAUCCGGAAUCAUUGGGUUUAAAGGGUCCGUAGGCGGUUGAAUAAGGCAGUGGUGAAAGCCCAUCGCUCAACGAUGGAACGGCAAUUGAUACUGUUAGACUUGAAUUACAAGGAAGUAACUAGAAUAUGUAGUGUAGCGGUGAAAUGCUUAGAUAUUACAUUGAAUACCAAUUGCGAAGGCAGGUUACUACUUGUGGAUUGACGCUGAUGGACGAAAGCGUGGGGAGCGAACAGGAUUAGAAACCCUGGUAGUCC